rnacentral:misc_RNA from 1 species
GAAAGAAAGCUCCUUUUUCUUUCUCCAAAUUUGUCCGGAUGAUCAGCACUGAUCAAGAAACCACUGUGAGAGAAUUCAAACCCAAAAGCAGAAGAAUCAUGGGUGGUGGAGGCCCUGAUGAUGAUGAUGGAACUGAUGCUGAUAAAGAAGAUAUCGAGUGGCCGCCAUGGCUGCGUCCUCUUCUCCAAACAAGCUUCUUCGUUCAAUGCAAACUUCAUGCUGAUGCUCACAAGAGCGAAUGCAAUAUGUAUUGCUUGGACUGCAUGAAUGGAGCCCUUUGUUCUCUCUGUCUCUCAUUUCACAAAGACCAUAAAGCUAUUCAGAUAAGGAGAUCAUCAUACCAUGAUGUGAUUAGAGUUUCUGAGAUUCAGAAAUACUUGGACAUUACAGGAGUGCAGACCUACAUUAUCAACAGUGCUAGAAUUGUGUUUUUGAAUGAGAGGCCUCAGCCUAGGCCUGGUAAAGGUGUCACCAACACUUGUCAAGUCUGUGAGCGUAGCCUUCUUGAUUCUUUCAGUUUCUGUUCCCUUGGUUGCAAGAUUGUUGGGACAUCAAAGAACUUCAGGAAGAAGAAAAUGCGCAAGGAAAUGAAUGGAUCAGACACAGAAGAAUCAAUGAAUGGCAAUGGCAUUAUCAACAACAAGGGAAAUAAUGGAAAUGGUAAUAAAAGGAAAAUCCAAAGCUUUACACCAUCAACACCACCACCAACUUCUGUGAAUUACAGGGCUACUGCCAAGAGGAGGAAGGGAGUCCCCCAUAGAUCUCCAAUGGGAGGAUUCAUCAUAGAAUACUAGCUCUAUCUACCACUCUAAGAUAUUACUCAUAUACAAAUCCUCAGAACCCAGCUGCAGGUUGGUCACUCACAUCUGAGCCUUUGUGCUAGGAGGCCGGUGUUGCAGAGUGAUCAUCGUCUAAAACUCCUUCUUGUAUAUAGAAAGAACAGAAAUAAGUGAAAUGGUGAAGUGCUCAAGAAAGAAAGAAAGAUGAAGAACAAAUCAACAAUAGAAAGUGAUAUAUUAAGAUGGGGGUGUUAGAUUUUAGCAGGAGUUUAUCUACGUAUCAUGUAGGCUUUUGAUACUAAUUUGUGAGAUGUGCAAUAUGUACAUAUGGUAUGUAGCUUGUCGACAACUAUAAUGUACUGUGAGA